GAUCUGGCUCAGGACGAACGCUGGCGGCGCGCCUAACACAUGCAAGUCGAACGAGCGAGAGAGAGCUUGCUUUCUCGAGCGAGUGGCGAACGGGUGAGUAACGCGUGAGGAACCUGCCUCAAAGAGGGGGACAACAGUUGGAAACGACUGCUAAUACCGCAUAAGCCCACGACCCGGCAUCGGGUUGAGGGAAAAGGAGCAAUCCGCUUUGAGAUGGCCUCGCGUCCGAUUAGCUAGUUGGUG
rnacentral:rRNA from 1 species